rnacentral:rRNA from 1 species
GGACCUGACUGCUAUCGGAUUGAUACUAAGCCAUGCGAGUCAUUGUAGUAAUACAAGGCAGACGGCUCAGUAACGCGUAGUCAACCUACCCUAUGGACGGGGAUAACCUCGGGAAACUGAGAAUAAUACCCGAUAGAACAUUAUGCCUGGAAUGGUUUAUGUUUCAAAUAAUUUAUUGCCGUAGGAUGGGACUGCGGCCUAUCAGUUUGUUGGUGAGGUAAUGGCCCGCCAAGACUAUUACAGGUACGGGCUCUGAGAGGAGUAGCCCGGAGAUGGGUACUGAGACACGGACCCAGGCCCUAUGGGGCGCAGCAGGCGAGAAAACUUUGCAAUGUGCGAAAGCACGACAAGGUUAAUCCGAGUGGUUUCUGCUAAAGGAACCUUUUGUCAGUCCUAGAAACACUGAUGAAUAAGGGGUGGGCAAGUUCUGGUGU